UACGGAGGGUGCAAGCGUUAUCCGGAUUCACUGGGUUUAAAGGGUGCGUAGGUGGGCAGGUAAGUCAGUGGUGAAAUCUCCGGGCUUAACUCGGAAACUGCCGUUGAUACUAUCUAUCUUGAAUAUCGUGGAGGUUAGCGGAAUAUGUCAUGUAGCGGUGAAAUGCUUAGAUAUGACAUAGAACACCCAUUGCGAAGGCAGCUAACUACACGAUCAUUGACACUGAGGCACGAAAGCGUGGGGAGCAAACAGG
rnacentral:rRNA from 1 species